rfam:Lupinus angustifolius cultivar Tanjil chromosome LG15, whole genome shotgun sequence.
UGUUGCGAUCAUACCAGCACUAAUGAACCGGAUCCCAUCAGAACUUCGCAGUCAAGCGUGAUUGAGCGAGAGUAGUACUAGGAUGGGUGACCUCCUGUGAAGUCCUCGUAUAGCACAUC